UGGGGAAUUUUGGACAAUGGGCGAAAGCCUGAUCCAGCAAUGCCGCGUGUGUGAAGAAGGCCUUCGGGUUGUAAAGCACUUUUGUCCGGAAAGAAAUCCUUGGCUCUAAUACAGUCGGGGGAUGACGGUACCGGAAGAAUAAGCACCGGCUAACUACGUGCCAGCAGCCGCGGUAAUACGUAGGGUGCAAGCGUUAAUCGGAAUUACUGGGCGUAAAGCGUGCGCAGGCGGUUUGCUAAGACCGAUGUGAAAUCCCCGGGGCUCAACCUGGGAACUGCAUUGGUGACUGGGCAGGCUAGAGUAUGGCAGAGGGGGGUUAGAAUUCCACGUGUAGCAGUGAAAUGCGUAGAGAUGUGGAGGAAUACCGAUGGCGAAGGCAGCCCCCUGGGCCAAUACUGACGCUCAUGCACGAAAAGCGUGGGGGAGCAAAACAGGAUUAGAUACCCCUGGUAGUCCACGCCCUAAAACGAUGUCAACUGUUGUUGGGGAUUCAUUUCUUAGUAACGUAGCUAACGCGUGAAGUUGACCGCCUGGGGAUACGGUCGCAAGAUUAAAACUCAAAGGAAUUGACGGGGUCAUAGCUGUUUCCU
rnacentral:rRNA from 1 species